AGAGGCGAGAGGAGGCAGCUGCAGCCGGCCGCUCCAGCUGAGAGCCUCGAGACGGAGAGGGAUCUCCGGAUAGCUAUGGGUGACGCGAAGACUUCGGUACUAAUCACGAUGCCCAGCCGCGACCGCGACCGGGACCGGCUCGUGCCUACCGCUGCCGUUGCCACCCAUGAGUCCCCGUCCGCCCUCACUGUCGGCGACUCCGAUGACGACAAGAGCAAGCCCUCCUCUGCUUCCGCCGCCGCUGCCGCCGCGCAGACCGGCCGUGAGGCGUUCCAUAAAGUUGUGCAUAGCUGGGCGUCCAAGAAGUUCAUGACCGGAUGGGUAUUUCUGUGAUGUGCGGGCGCACAUACGCCAGGCGCGCGCGUGAUGUGCGCAGGGGAACAGAGCGCGCAGCCAGGACACAGGAAGGGAAGGCAAGUGGCUAGAAGGAAAGUUAGCCACCUAAUCAAUUGUUUCCUGUGUUAGUUAUUUCCUUAUUAGUCGUUUCCUUGUUAGUUAUUUCCUUGUGAGUUAUUUCCUUGUGAGUUGUUUCCUUGUUAGUUAUUUCCUUACUAGUUGUUUCCUUGUUAGUUAUUUCCUUAUAGCUGCCCCCUCUGUGGCUAUAUAAGCAUGUACGAGACAUCAUUUGGGAUAAGCAAUAAUUCAGUCUUAAUCUCCCUCUCUUCUCUACAAACCGACGGCUGAGGGGUAUAACCUCGCCGGCGUGACGGACAGCGGCUACGAGUUACGUAGCCGGGGUCCGGCCAGUCGGGGAUUUGGCGUCCUUGACAACCUGGUAUCACGGUCUCGUCGAUCCUCACCCACCCGCUCCAACCACGCCCAGCAGCCGCCAACGCCACCACCUUUCCCAGCCUCCACCACAGCCAUGGCCGAGCCCACCAUUGCCGACGUCCUCGCUGAGUUGCGGGCACUCCGCACGGACGUCAACACGCUGCAGUUCGACAUGGCGGCCAUGAAGGACAAGUCUGCGUCGGCCUCGGACAACGGGGGCCAUGGUCGGCGACCCGAGGGGCAGCGCGACCACGAUCCGUACCUCCAGCACCGCAAGUGGGACUUCCCCCGCUUCGACGGCUCCGUCGAUCCGAUGCUGUUCAUCAACAAAUGUGAGUCAUACUUCCGGCAUCACCGCACCUUGGGGGAGGAACGUGUUCGGAUGGCAUCAUACCAUCUGGACGACGUCGCGCAGCUGUGGUACAACCAGCUUGAAGAAGAUGAUGGUGCCCCGUCAUGGGGUCGAUUCAAAGACUUCCUGAAUGAGAGGUUCGGACCUCCACUCCGUUCCGCGCCGUUGUUCGAACUUUCGGAAUGCCGGCGCACCGAAUCUGUGGAGGAGUACUCUAAUCGUUUCCAGACGCUCCUGCCCCGUGCCGGUCGGCUGGACGAAGCUCAACGAGUGCAACUCUUCACCGGAGGCCUCCUCCCGCCUCUCAGUCAUGCGGUGCGCAUCCAUAAUCCGACCACGCUCGCCGCUGCGAUGAGCCUGGCGCGGCAAGUGGAGCUCAUGGAGCUCGAGCGACCGCUGGUACGACAGGGAGCGCGCGGUCUACUUCCGCCACCGCCGCCUCGAACCGCUCCGGCCGCGCCACCCCAGCAGCUGGCUCUUCCAAACCUGCCGGCGGGUAACGACCAGGGACGACGCGAGGGCAACCAGCGGCGCCUCUCUACGGCGGAGCAGGCGGAACGACGUCGCCUUGGCCUUUGUUUUAACUGUGACGAAAAGUAUUCUCGUGGCCAUAACAGGUUUUGCAAGCGGAUUUUCUUCGUGGACGGGGUGGAGAUUGAUGACACCGAACCCGUCACCGACGACGGGGACAGGGACGCCCCCUGCUUCUCGCUGCAGGCGGUGGCUGGGGUGUCCAUGACGGACACCACGCAGCUCGCGGUCACACUAGGGGCCGCUCAGCUCGUAGCCCUCCUCGACUCCGGCAGCACCCACAAUUUCAUCUCCGAAGAAGCCGCUCGGCGAACGGGUCUUCCGCUCCAACAACGUCCCCGCCUAACGGCCAUGGUGGCUAAUGGUGAGAAGAUCACCUGCGCCGGCGUCAUCCGCAAAGCCCCACUAAUCAUCGCUGGUGCUGCGUUCCCGGCGGAGCUGUUCGUCAUGCCCUUGGCCGGGUACGACAUCGUCCUCGGCACCAAAUGGCUCAGCGCGUUGGGACCCAUUGUCUGGGACCUGGCCAACAGGCGCAUGUCCUUCCAGCGAGGGGGCCGCACCAUCUCAUGGGCGGGCCUAUCCACGACGUCGGGCCCGGCGGUGUGCACCUUGUCCGCUGAAGAAUCGCUCUUGGAUGCUCUCCUCGGAGCGUUUGCAAGGGUCUUCGCCACUCCAACGGGACUGCCCCCCAAGCGCGCACAUGAUCACCGCAUCCUGUUGAAGCCCGAUGCACAGCCGGUCGCCGUGCGCCCCUAUCGGUACCCAGCUGCCCACAAAGAUGAGUUGGAGCGGCAGUGUGCAGCCAUGAUGGAACAAGGGAUCGUCCGACGCAGCGACUCCCCGUUUUCGUCGCCGGUCCUCCUUGUCAAGAAGGCCGAUGGAUCCUGGCGCUUCUGCGUCGACUACCGGGCCCUGAACGCCAUGACGGUCAAGGACGCCUUCCCGAUCCCGGUGGUGGAUGAGCUAUUGGAUGAGCUCAACGGCGCCAAAUUUUUCUCCAAGCUCGACCUACGGUCGGGAUACCACCAGGUCCGCAUGCGACCCGAGGACAUCCACAAGACGGCGUUCCGCACGCAUGACGGCCUAUAUGAGUUCCUGGUCAUGGCGUUCGGACUCUGCAACGCGCCGGCCACAUUCCAAGCCCUCAUGAACGACGUCCUGAGGCCGUUCCUCCGUCGCUUCGUCCUCGUAUUUUUUGACGAUAUUUUGAUCAACAGCAGGACUUGGGCAGAUCACCUCCGGCACCUGCGUGCUGUCCUGGAAGAACUGCGCCGUCACCAGCUCUUCGUCAAGCGCACCAAAUGUUCCUUCGGGGUCUCCGCCGUCGCCUACCUCGGCCACGUUAUCUCUGCGGCGGGCGUCGCCAUGGAUCCCGUCAAGGUGCAAGCCAUCCAUGAUUGGCCGACGCCACGAUCCGCCCGUGCCGUCCGUGGCUUCCUCGGCCUCGCGGGGUACUACCGCAAGUUCGUACAUAACUAUGGCACGGUGGCCGCGCCCCUGACGGCGUUGCUCAAGAAGGACGGUUUCACUUGGGAUGAUGCAGCGGCCACGGCGUUCUCCGCACUCAAGGCGGCGGUCACUUCGGCACCAGUCCUCGCCAUGCCCGACUUCGCCAAGCUGUUCGUCGUCGAAUGUGACGCGUCAACCAUCGGCUUUGGGGCGGUCCUAGUCCAGGAGGGACACCCGGUGGCAUACUUCAGCCGGCCAGUAGCGCCGCGCCACCGCGCGCUGGCCGCCUACGAGCGAGAGCUCAUUGGCAUGGUCCAGGCGGUUCGGCAUUGGAGGCCAUACCUAUGGGGGCGCCGCUUCCUCGUCAAGACGGACCACUACAGCUUGAAAUACCUCCUCAACCAGCGCCUCGCCACGAUUCCGCAGCACCACUGGGUCGGCAAGCUCUUGGGCUUCGAUUUCACAGUGGAGUACCGCUCCGGGGCCACGAAUACUGUCGCCGACGCCCUAUUCCGCCGCGACAACGAGGAAGGAGAGCUGCUGGCCAUCUCAGCGCCCCGGUUCGACUUCAUCGAGCGCCUCCGCCAUGCCCAGGCUACCGACCCGGCGCUGGUAGCCGUCCACGAUGAGCUCCGGGCGGGGACCCGCACGGCGCCGUGGACCAUCACCGACGGCAUGGUCGCCCUGGAGGGGCGCCUCUACAUCCCGCCAGCAUCGCCACUACUUCAGGAAAUCCUGGCCGCGGUCCACGACGACGGCCAUGAAGGCGUUCAUCGCACGCUGCACCGCCUGCGGCGUGAUUUUCAUUUCCCCAACAUGCGUCGUGUGGUGCAGGACUUUGUGAAGGCGUGCGCCACAUGUCAGAGGUACAAGAUUGACCACCUGAGGCCGGCCGGGCUGCUCCAGCCACUGCCCAUUCCGUCCAGCGUGUGGGCCGACAUCGGCAUCGAUUUCAUUGAAGCACUCCCCCGGGUGCAGGGCAAGACAGUAAUCCUCUCCGUCGUCGACCGCUUCAGCAAGUACUGCCACUUCAUCCCGUUAGCACACCCCUACACCGCCGAGUCUGUCGCCCAAGCAUUCUUCAGCGACAUCGUCCGCCUUCAUGGUGUGCCGCAAUCCAUCGUCUCGGACCGCGACCCGGUGUUCACGUCGACAUUCUGGACCGAGCUCAUGCGGCUCACUGGCACCAAGCUCUUCAUGUCGUCGGCUUUUCACCCGCAAACGGAUGGACAGACGGAGGCCGCCAACAGGGUAAUCGUCAUGUACCUCCGUUGUUUCACAGGCGAUCGUCCUCGGCAGUGGCUUCGCUGGCUUCCGUGGGCCGAAUACACCUACAACACGGCUUUCCAAUCGUCGCUCCGGGAGACGCCGUUCCGCGUGGUCUAUGGCCGCGACCCGCCCUCCAUCCGCUCUUAUGAGCCUGGUGAGACGCGUGUGGCAGCUGUUGCACUGGAGAUGGAGGACCGCACGGCUUUUCUCGCCGACGUCCGCUACCGCCUCGAACAGGCCCAAGCGGUCCAAAAGCGUGUCUAUGAUCAACACCAUCGUCCGGUGGAGUACCAAGUUGGGGACUGGGCACUACUACGACUCCGGCAACGCCCGGCAGCAUCACUACCACGGACCUCCACCGGCAAGCUCAAGCCACGGUUCGUUGGACCGUAUCGCGUCCUGGAGAUCAUCAACGCCGUGGCUGUCCGGCUCGAGCUUCCGCCAGGGGCCCGCCUCCAUGAUGUGUUCCAUGUUGGAGUGCUCAAGAAGUUCGUCGGCACACCACCAGCAACACCCCCGGCAUUACCCCCCACGCACAACGGCGCUGUGGUGCCCGUGCCAGCAGGGGUCACAGCCGGGCGCCUGGCUCGUGGGAUUCGCCAGCUAUUGGUCCAGUGGCAAGGUGAGCCAGCUGCGUCAGCAAGCUGGGAGGACUACGACGACUUUCGCGCUCGCUUCCCUGAUUUCCAGCUCGAGGACGAGCUGGUCUUCGACGGCGGGAGAGAUGUGAUGUGCGGGCGCACAUACGCCAGGCGCGCGCGUGAUGUGCGCAGGGGAACAGAGCGCGCAGCCAGGACACAGGAAGGGAAGGCAAGUGGCUAGAAGGAAAGUUAGCCACCUAAUCAAUUGUUUCCUGUGUUAGUUAUUUCCUUAUUAGUCGUUUCCUUGUUAGUUAUUUCCUUGUGAGUUAUUUCCUUGUGAGUUGUUUCCUUGUUAGUUAUUUCCUUACUAGUUGUUUCCUUGUUAGUUAUUUCCUUAUAGCUGCCCCCUCUGUGGCUAUAUAAGCAUGUACGAGACAUCAUUUGGGAUAAGCAAUAAUUCAGUCCUAAUCUCCCUCUCUUCUCUACAAACCGACGGCUGAGGGGUAUAACCUCGCCGGCGUGACGGACAGCGGCUACGAGUUACGUAGCCGGGGUCCGGCCAGUCGGGGAUUUGGCGUCCUUGACAAUUUCAUACUAAAACAUUUACACACCCACCAUGCUAACUAGUGGGCUUGGUGGGUUGGUCCUUUGCCUUAUUCUGGGGCCGUCGCUUUAGCCCCUCGACAUCUUCAUCUUUGCUGAAGGCUUCACCGGUCGCCCGUCGAAUGGUCCCGUGGCGCUCAAGCACGAAGGGUGUGCCUUUAGCCUUUGACCAAGGGGCAUGACAAGCGUCUUCAUUAUCGGUAAGCCUCCGCAGGCGCCAGCCUUCAACGUCUGCUGGAGUCUUCGUCUACUAGUUUGUAGCCCCCGCUAUGCUACGGGCUAGCCGAGGGCUACAGGUGCGCUUGGUCCUGCAUUUGUCGAUGAGGUUAGCUGACAAGGUUGCUUGUGCGAGGGGCUUCGUGCGGCCGUUGCCGGGUACAGAGAUCGAAGGCUUCACUGGUAUCGCGAGUCCUCCGUGGUCUCCAGCUGCGCCUGCUCCUAUUCUUAGACACAAUUAGUUUUAGCUUCAAGGCGUGACCAAUCGAAGGGGUGAUCGAGGUCUGGUUCGGCCUUCGUCCCAACAGAUAUCAUCCUUGAGUUCUUUUGAAGCAUUUGAUAUUGGAAACCGGUAGAAAUGAGAGUUAGUACCACUAGAAUGGUUCUUAGCACCAGUAUGUUGAUGCUGGCCAUAAAUGACAUGCAUAAAUUGAAUAAGAUAAGAAUGUAGCACCAGAGGACAUUAGUGAAACACGGAAUGAACUAUUAUUUUGUGCAUUUAGAUCGAAGAAGUUAUGGAUAGGUUUUUUAAAUAGAUGAAUUUAGAAUUGUUUCACUGUAUGUUUUCUUCUCUCCAUGUCUCAAAGUAGUGUUUCAGUCCCACGUUCUACUUUUCUUUUUCAUUUUCUAUCUUGUUAUUAAUGAUGUCAUGAUGUGGUCUCAAAGCAUAAGCUUAACAUGCAUACAUUUCAUCAUAUGUUGGCUAUGCAAAUGAAUAUUUAGGAAAGAAGCAUUUUUUUUGAGUUUUCUGUCUACUUUAUUUGUUCUGGCCUGACCUAUGCUUUGUUAACAUGAAUUAAGCAAAAUGUGUACUAUUUGUAAUGUUAAAAAGCGGUAAUAUAAAACUGAUCUAGCACUAAACCUAGGUGAAAAUGGGCUAGAACAAUACAUUAUAUUGGGUUGACUUUUUUUUGCAAGUCUCCUGUUCAGCUAGAUGGGGUCAGCUCAGCCAUGGUAACAUAAAGUUUGAUUUCUCUAUUUGUGUCACGGAAGGAUCAGCGUAGAAUGAAAUUUGAGAUGAACCAACGUUCUGACCAUAUUCUCUUUACUAUAGUUUGGCAUAUCCAUAAGCUAUUGUACUGUUGUGUGCUUAUGUAAAAAAACUUAAGAUUAAUCUAAGGUACAUUCUUUUCAGGUUAUUCCUUUAUCAUGCUACUGAUGCGGUUUCCCCAAUUCUCUUGCAGUGUCAUCCUCUUCCCAAUUGCAGUUACAUUCUAUGUGACAUGGUGGUUCUUUCGCUUUGUGGAUGGGUUUUUCUCCCCAAUAUAUGCUCACCUGGGAAUCAAAAUAUUUGGGCUUGGUUUUGUAACAUCGAUAUCUUUCAUUUUUGUGGUUGGUUUAUUCAUGUCAUCUUGGCUGGGAGCAUCUAUCCUUGGCCUUGGAGAGUGGUUUAUAAAACGAAUGCCAUUUGUUCGCCAUAUUUACGAUGCAUCUAAGCAAAUCAGUGCUGCCAUUUCACCUGAUCAAAACAAGCAUGCAUUCAAAGAAGUGGUCAUCAUUAGGCACCCAAGAAUUGGCGAAUAUGCAUUUGGAUUUAUCACUUCGGAAGUUCUACUUCAGGGUUAUUCUAGUGAAGAACAGAUGUACUGUGUUUAUGUUCCGACCAACCAUCUCUAUAUUGGUGACAUAUUUCUGGUCAGCUCAAGUGACGUGAUUAGACCGAACAUGUCUGUUCGCGAAGGCAUUGAAAUUGUUGUCUCUGUGGGCACAUCGAUGCCUCAAGUAUUGUCGAUUCUGGAAACUGAGCCAAACCAGUUGAACAGGAUCAGAUCCACCCGAAGCUGAGAUGACUUCACAUUUUGUAAUUUCGUGUUACAAAGUCCUUGUUGUACAAGAGUAGGUUCUGACAGAUUGUACAGUUCUCCUGGGUAGAAAGCAAAAUCUGUUUGUGAACACAUCUCACCUGAACGCGAUUGCUUGUAUGGCCGUCUCAGCUUCUUCAGAAAUGUAACUUAGCAGUUGAGUAGAGUUGACCUAUGUUAAGAGUUGUCAAGUUUUGAAGUGGAAGAAUUUUCUUAACCAUUUGGUUUAUGUGUCCAGGGAGUCUUGUGAGGCCUGUUUGAAUGGGAGGGAUUCAUUUUUUUUACAGUCUGGUUCAAACUUGACCUGAAUUCCAAAAAGAUUAUUCAAUUA